rnacentral:rRNA from 1 species
GACGAACGCUGGCGGCGUGCUUAACACAUGCAAGUCGAGCGGUAAGGCCCUUUCGGGGGUACGACGAGCGGCGAACGGGUGAGUAACACGUGGGUGACCUGCCUUUAGUCUCUGGGAGUAAGCCUGGGAAACGUAGGGUCGUAAUACCGGAUAUGACUCCGCGGUGCAUGCUGUGGGGUGGAAAGCCUUGUGCGGCUGGAGAUGGGCCCGCGG